rnacentral:rRNA from 1 species
UACAGAGGGUGCGAGCGUUAAUCGGAAUUAUUGGGCGUAAAGCGUCCGCAGGUGGCUAUUCAAGUCUGCGGUCAAAGACUGGGGCUUAACCCUGGAAAGGCCGUGGAAACUGAAGAGCUAGAGUGCAGUAGGGGUAGAGGGAAUUCCCGGUGUAGCGGUGAAAUGCGUAGAGCUCGGGAAGAACAUCGGUGGCGAAAGCGCUCUGCUGGACUGCAACUGACACUCAGGGACGAAAGCUAGGGGAGCGAAUGGG